GACUUCCUGGCAAGCCUUGGCUGUCCCUGCCUGUGGAAUUUCUGGAAUCCCACGGCCUCCUGCCCGACUUCUCGCCCUCCCACACAGCGUUCCUGCUGUUGGGAGACGGAGACGGUGUCUGUCUUCCCACGGAGAGAACACACCCCUAGGACCUCCCACACAAGGGUUUCGGGAGUCCGAAGUGGCUCAGGCAAGCGCCCCAUGAAUCUCUGAUGCUGUUCUAAGCUCUGUGAUUAGGAAAUGAAGGAGACAGACCUGGUCUUUACCUGUGUGCAAGUCAUGCAAGUCACUUCUGGGAUCAGGUGAGGAGCUCAUUCCAGGAGACCCCAGGGUUACCUGACACCAGCCAGCCAUGAAUUUGGUCCUGUUCUGUCUGCUGCAGCUGGGAACGAGAGUGCCCGGGGCAGAUGAUCUGCCCAGGAGCUGGGAAUAGCAUUGUGCACAUGGAAGGCUCCCUCAAAAAUGAAGGCAGACCCCUCAAAACACCAACAGGCUGUAUCCCAUCCUGAUGUGCCAGAGCAGCCUCGGGCCCCUGUGUGCUGCAGCCAACACAGGCAAAGGAGGGAGCGAGGCUGGGGACUGUGAGCCCUGGCUGUCACCUGCCCCAGCCUCCAGAGUCCUCUGAGCUCUUCGCACCUGUGUCUUCUCAUCUCUCAGGGUGCCCUUCUGGGUGCCCAGCUUAGCA